GGUUGGAUGGCGCAGUUGGUCAGCGCGUAUGCUUCACACAGAUUGUUGAUCAGUGGACGCAUAAGGUCGCGAGUUCGAGCCUCGCUUCGAUCA